GAUGAACGCUGGCGGCGUGCUUAACACAUGCAAGUCGAACGAAGCACCUUGAUUUGAUUCUUCGGAUGAAGAUCUUGGUGACUGAGUGGCGGACGGGUGAGUAACGCGUGGGUAACCUGCCUCAUACAGGGGGAUAACAGUUAGAAAUGACUGCUAAUACCGCAUAAGACCACAGCACCGCAUGGUGCAGGGGUAAAAACUCCGGUGGUAUGAGAUGGACCCGCGUCUGAUUAGGUAGUUGGUGGGGUAACGGCCUACCAAGCCGACGAUCAGUAGCCGACCUGAGAGGGUGACCGGCCACAUUGGGACUGAGACACGGCCCAAACUCCUACGGGAGGCAGCAGUGGGGAAUAUUGUACAAUGGGGGAAACCCUGAUGCAGCGACGCCGCGUGAGCGAUGAAGUAUUUCGGUAUGUAAAGCUCUAUCAGCAGGGAAGAAAAUGACGGUACCUGACUAAGAAGCACCGGCUAAAUACGUA
rnacentral:rRNA from 1 species